rnacentral:rRNA from 1 species
AACGAACGCUGGCGGCAUGCCUAACACAUGCAAGUCGAACGGGAUCCUAGCUUGCUAGGUGAGAGUGGCGGACGGGUGAGUAACACGUGGGAAUCUGCCCUUUGGUCCGGGAUAACCGCGGGAAACUGCGGCUAAUACCGGAUGCCCUCGCGAGAGGAAAGAUUUAUCGCCAGAGGAGGAGCCCGCGUCCGAUUAGGUAGUUGGUGGGGUAAAGGCCUACCAAGCCGACGAUCGGUAGCUGGUCUGAGAGGAUGAUCAGCCACACUGGGACUGAGAUACGGCCCAGACUCCUACGGGAGGCAGCAGUGGGGAAUAUUGGACAAUGGGGGCAACCCUGAUCCAGCAAUGCCGCGUGAGUGAUGAAGGCCUUAGGGUUGUAAAGUUCUUUUGCCAGGGAAGAUGAUGACUGUACCUGGAGAGUAAGCCCCGGCUAACUUCGUGCCAGCCGCCGCCGUAAGAC